rnacentral:rRNA from 1 species
UGCGUAGGCGGAUAUUUAAGUUCAGAUGUGAAAUUACCAGGGCGUCAACCUUGGAACUGCAUUUGUAAACUAGGAUAUCUAGAGUGCAGGAGAGGAAAGCGGAAUUCCUAGUGUAGCGGUGAAAUGCGUAGAGAUUAGGAAGAACACCAGUGGCGAAGGCGGCUUUCUGGACUGUAACUGACGCUGAGGCACGAAAGCGUGGGGAGCAAACAGGAUUAGAUACCCUGGUAGUCCACGCUGUAAACGAUGAGUGCUAGGUGUGGGGGAGUUUCGACAUCCUCUGUGCCGCAGUAAACGCAAUAAGCACUCCGCCUGGGGAGUACGGUCGCAAGACUAAA